AUGGACUACUCGUACCUGAACCAAGCCAACUUUGACGGUCUGACCGGCACUACCACGGCCGCGUCCAACAUGGACCACGCGGCCAUGGGAUACGGCGACCUGACCACGUGCGGCCAGAUGACGCACGCCGCGUACCGGUUCGGUCCCACCGCGUCCAUGGCCGCUCGGUCGUACAAUACGGCCAUGGGCCAUCACCUGUCGGCUGCCGCAGCCGCCGCGGCUGUCGCGUCCGGCAAUGGCCACAACGGCAGCGGCGUCACGUCCGCAGCCGCCGCCGCAGCCGCAGCCGCCGCCCGAGGACACCACCACGGACAUCACCAGGACCAUCACCCGGGGCGGCCGACAAUGUUCUCGACCGCAAUGAAUUUGCCAGGUGGGUUAGCAGCAUAUAAAAGUCUUCCGUACACUACUCAUGACAGUAUUCUAACGGAAAAAAGAAAACAAAGGAGAAUACGGACUACUUUUACUUCAGCACAGUUGAAGGAAUUGGAAAGAGCUUUUCAAGAAACACAUUAUCCUGAUAUAUAUACCAGAGAAGAGAUCGCCAAACACAUAGAGCUUACCGAGGCCAGAGUUCAGGUGUGGUUUCAAAAUCGCCGGGCAAAAUUCCGAAAACAAGAAAGGCUAGCCCAGCAAAAGUCGUCGCAAUCCAGCAGCAGUAGCACGGUAGAUGCGACCAGCAUAAAAACCGAGCCGAAACAAUGCGGUCAAUCUAAAGACGGGAAGCCUGGCACACCGUCCACGCCUGGUAGCAUAUCUUCUAACAACGGUUCUACCGACAUGAAAUCAGUCAAUGGAUCAGCGAUAAAAAUGUCUGAGCAAUCGGAAGGGGUGAACAACAACAAAUGGCUGUUGGGCCAGGGCCAGAACUACACGCAGCUCCACCACCAGCUUCAGCAACAGUGUGGUGGUGGAAGUGGUGGUGGUGGCAGUGGGGGCGGUGGUGGCGGUGGUGGUGGAGGAAACGGGUCACCAGGAAACAAUUCACCGGCUCACAAGAUGAACGGCGGCGGCGGCGGCGGCGGUACGCACAAUCACAAUCACCAUCAUCAUCACCACUCGCCAACGUCGCAUCACCAACAGUUCGCCCACCACCCGUUCAGUUUAUUGGGCGCCGCUGGACCGGCUAGCUACCUGCUCGGCUCCGACUCGCUCAAGGUCACCGGUGGCGGUGCGGGCGGCGGACCGGCCGGGUCCAAUCACGUCUUGUUCUGAACUACGCUGCAAUGAACCGCGGGCAAACUUGGUCACUAUAUUAAAAUAAUAAUAUUAGGCAUAUUAAACCAUGACAAUUAUACGAGUGACGGUACACAUCAGAAUAUUAUUUCGCCACAAUAAUAGCUGGUACCUAUAAUACACGUCGUACACGAUUAUCGACGAUCGCAUUUCACCGUUUUGUACAUAUUAAUAUUAUUAUAAAAUAUAUAUAUAUAUAUAUAUAAUAUACGAAAAAAAUUAUAUAUUGUAAACAGUGUUGUUAAUAGGUAAUAAUAUAAGAAAAAUAUUGUCUUUCGCGUUGUGAGGAUAAACCAUAAAGUAUAUAUCGUAACUUUUCUUUUAUUUCAAUUUUUUUUUUGUUUUAUGUAUAUUUUAAUUUUCUUUCGUCAAAUAUAAUAAUAAUUCAAGUAGGUAUAAAUGGUAUAAUAUGCGAUUCGGUAUAAAUAAUUUUAAAUACCAAAUACAUAACAAUAAAUAGCGGGAAAGGAUGCGAUAUCAUAUCAAUGUAAAUCGUUAAAAGCCGUGUGGUUGGGUGCGCAUAAGAAUAUAGUUAUAUAAUCGUGGCCAUCACCGCAAAAAAUGACGAGGCUACAGUUGCUGCACUAAGAUGGGUCCAGGAGGGUGUUUUAUUGCUCCCUCUCGAUUUCAAAUUUUCAUAUCCAUACCUGCCUGAUGUAGCCGAAAAGUCAUUACGUGUUUACUAUAUAAAGCGGUUUUGCCGGGCUUAUAAUUUUGUUCCAUAUUAUCACGCAUAUAGUGUGUAAUAUUCAAAAAUAAUAACGACCUUAAUAAUAUUAUGAUAUAAUGUAUUGUAUGAUCACAGCACCAAGUGCUUAUAUAAACACGUUUAUAAUAAUUGUAGUCAGAACUAUUUUCAGUUGGUCUUGUACAGCGCGACAACGAUUUACAAUAAAUCUGUAUCUAUAUAUAUAUAUAUGCUAUAAUAUGUAAUGUAUAAUAUAUUACAUAGACACGGGGCGGGUAUACUAUGGUGGUCCACCCCAAAAAAGUAUAUGCCUAAACACGCCUCUCAAAUUUCCUGUUAUAUAUAUUUAUGUGUAUGUAUAUGUGCGUGUGUGUAUGUGUGUGUGUGUGUGUGUGUGUUUCGAUCUGUUUAGAAGAAAACUAAGCACAUCAAAGUACACUUCAGUGGCCGAUAUACGUCACCCAUGCAAUGUUUUGAGGGGUUAAUCGUUCGAGUGUAUAUACAAUAUAAUACAUAACUGCAGUAUCAUCUUCUCGGCCGCUCUCUGCAGUGUCACGUAAAGCGAGGGAGAAAAGGUAAAAAAAAAGGCAAUUGCCUCAAAUGGACAAUUUUUUGGGUGCAUCGACUAACAGAGAAGGUGUUGUUUACUAUUUAUUAUUUAUUAAAGUAAAAAACUUCAUCAUACGCGUAAAAAAAUUUGUUAUAAGACUUCUAUAGAACACCAUUAUUGUCCGUUGCAUUUAUCCACUGUAGUAGAAUAAUAGUGUUGUUGCCAAAUCGUAGCAAGAGUAUUCAUAGGUUUGUUGGAUAUUUUUGGAAUUCUUCUUUUUCUUUUUUUACUCAUCUUUUUAUUAAUACCCAAUAUCAUACGGGUACAACGAACUGCUAUCGUGUCGUCAUAUAAUAAUAAUAAAUAUUAUUAUUAUUAUACGACAGGAUUAGGAAACAUCUAAAAAUACGUACAAAGUAGCCGUAUAUACUACGCGAUAAAGGUAUCCAAACAGAUAGUUUUUAGCGGAACAGCUACUGUGGUGGGCGACAAUCUUUCAUCAUUCAUCAGCGGUGGUGUUGAACGAUAAUGCUUUUAUCAGGCUCGGAUUAAGGUAUGUGAAACGUAAACGAAAAUAGUUGAAAAUAUUAUUUUAUUAUUUAUCAAGACGAAUAAUUUUGGGCUUAUAUUUAUUGUUUUGAAAUGUAAAAACUUGUACAAUAAAUGUAUACUCACAAAUAACAUGUUAAAAAACAUUAAUAUUAUUUUAAAUGCUAUAAUAAAUUAUAAGGACAACAAAUUAUUCAUAAAUCACAGCCUACAACCACCAAAUCCGGGCCUGAAUUUUUCUUAUUAUAAUGACCAGCGUCAUAUUACCACAAAUAUAGGCGUAUCAUAUUAUAACAUAAAGUGUAUGUAACUACCGUGGGGUGGAAACUCGGAGUGAAGAACACGAUUGAUUGGAAAACGAAUAUGUUUAGGAAAAUGCUAGGCAGUAAUGAAUACACAUGAUAUUACACGUUUAAAACUUCAACCCGUAAUAUGCGAAAAAAUAAUAACCGAUCAUAAAAUAUUAUUAUAUACAAUUAUUCAAAUAAACGAGACUAAUAAUUAAUCACUAAUAUAAUUAUCCCAUACAGGCCAUACAGGUAAAAAUUAAAACUAAUUAACUUUAUCGUAUCUCCUCGUCAUUACAACGCUAAUAUUAUCGUAGUAGUUGUAACAAUUUUUUUUUUUUAUUAACAAUUUUUCUUAGGUAAAAUAAUUAAUAAUAUAGUGAUAUUAUAUUAUA